rnacentral:rRNA from 1 species
UACGGAGGGUGCAAGCGUUAUCCGGAUUCACUGGGUUUAAAGGGUGCGUAGGAGGGCAGGUAAGUCAGUGGUGAAAUCUCCGAGCUUAACUUGGAAACUGCCGUUGAUACUAUCUGUCUUGAAUAUUGUGGAGGUGAGCGGAAUAUGUCAUGUAGCGGUGAAAUGCUUAGAUAUGACAUAGAACACCAAUUGCGAAGGCAGCUUACUUCACGAUCAUUGACACUGAGGCACGAAAGCGUGGGGAGCAAACAGG